UACGAGGGGGGCAAAUGUUGUUCGGAAUCACUGGGCGUAAAGGGAGCGUAGGCGGGUUUUAAGUCAGGUGUUUAAUCCCGGGGCCCAACCCCGGACAGGCACUUGAAACUGGGAAUCUUGAAUAGUGGAGAGGUCAGUGGAAUUGGGGGUGUAGCGGUGGAAUGCGUAGAGAUCCCCAAGAACACCCGUUGCGAAGGCGGCUGACUGGACACAUAUUGACGCUGAGGCUCGAAAGCAUGGGGAGCAAACAGG
rnacentral:rRNA from 1 species